rnacentral:lncRNA from 1 species
CUUUAAAGCAAGAGAGUCCAUACUUGGAAUGUUCCAGAAAGCUCUUCCACCGUUUGAAAUGAAUCAAAAGGAAACUAUUCAUCUGGAAACUAUAGCUGCUUUGGGUGGCUUCGGGAAAUGUGUUGCUGAAUUGUUGUUAUGAGCAUCCAAGCUCCAACUGUGACAGUCUGCUGUCUGCUGUCUUCCACCAAUGCGGGAUGAAGGAACUCGCUUCAAACUUGAAAUGAUGACCCAUUCUCCACCAUGAAAUCUGGAAGUGAGCUUUCUAUAUUACAUACGAAGGAGUGUGGAGUGAAGUCUCGGCAUAAUGAUAUGUAGAGCUUAUGAUAUGGUACCUAUAAUGAAGUACCGUUAUCAUCUUCAUCUUUGGUCUCCUUGGCCCAACAUGUUCACGAUGGUUGUGAAGGAAACGAAGCCAUGAGAUUGCACCCCGCUGAUGCAACUUGAGUUGCAUGGCAUGGGUAAACGCCAUCAAAAAUGAACGGCCCAUGAUAAAGGUCAACUUGUUCACGCGAGGUGAUUCGAUAGAUAACUAUAAGGAUGUUUUGCACUGAUUUGAUACCCAUCGGAUCUGUUACAGGCUGUUAAAAUGAGAUAAUGAGAAUGCUAAGUGGACAAGGUAGAGCUGAAAAUUUGUGGUAAGUCCAUCAAUAAAAUACAUGCACUGAUGCUGUGAUUACAUUUUGAUUAUAAAAACA